rnacentral:rRNA from 1 species
GACGUAGGGCGCGAGCGUUGUCCGGAUUUAUUGGGCGUAAAGAGCUCGUAGGCGGCUCGUUGCGUCGGCUGUGAAAACCCGCAGCUCAACUGUGGGCUUGCAGCCGAUACGGGCGGGCUGGAGUUCGGUAGGGGAGACUGGAAUUCCUGGUGUAGCGGUGAAAUGCGCAGAUAUCAGGAGGAACACCGAUGGCGAAGGCAGGUCUCUGGGCAUUAACUGACGCUGAGGAGCGAAAGCAUGGGGAGCGAACAGG